ACCGCCGUGGCGCAGGGCUGCCGGUGCUCGUCGCCGAGGUCGACGGCGUCGUGGCCGGCUACGCGACCUACAGCGCGUUCCGGCCGCACCAGGGGUACC
rnacentral:tRNA from 1 species